rnacentral:lncRNA from 1 species
CUAGCUAAACAGUAUAGUUUUCCAGCGACCUUGACAUAAGGUGUCCGCCACUGGUGGUUACCUGCAAAGGGGAACUCGGCAAUCUUCUGGUUGGUCACAAAUGGAUGCGUGUAAUCUUAGGAGCUGCCACAUGCGCUUGCAUCGCAAACAACUUCCAUUGGCCCUUUUCUUACAAGUAGCAAAAUGACGGAUCAGAAGCUGGAGCCCUUGACAGGUCUCAAACUUGUUACAUGGCUGCCUUUUGUUUGCCCUUUUCUUACAAUUAGCGAAAUGACGGAUCAGAAGCUGGAGCCCUUGACAGGUCUCAAACUUGCUACAUGGCUGCCUUUUGUGGGAACAUUCCUUAUUAUGUGGCCCAACGCUAGUACAUCCUUCUGUACAAAUAUGCUCCAAACAAUUCAUGGCUUCGCUGAGCUUUAAAUACAAAUUCAGCUC